UUCUUCAAAAAAAAUAUUUAAAGAAACUAAUUAAUUAAAAGGAACUCGGCAAAUUUAGUUGCUUCGCCUGUUUAUCAAAAACAUGGCUCUCUGUUUGUAUAAAUAUAGAGAGUCGAGCCUGCCCGGUGAAUAUUUUUUAACGGCCGCGGUACUCUGACCGUGCAAAGGUAGCAUAAUCAUUUGCCUUAUAAUUGAAGGCUAGUAUGAAUGGUUUGACGAGAGCAACGCUGUCUCUUUUUUAUUUUCAAGAACUUAACUUUUAGGUGAAGAGGCCUAAAUUUUAUUGAAGGACAAGAAGACCCUGUCGAGCUUUAAAGACAUUAUAGAAGUCUAUAUACUUUUAAAUAAAUUUUCUAUUAAGCUUUUUAGUUGGGGCGACUAAGGAACAAAAAAAGCUUCUUAUUAUUAACAAACAGUUAUGUUUAGAUCCGAUAAUAGUCGAUUAAAAAAAUUAGUUACCGCAGGGAUAACAGCAUAAUCUCUCUUGAGAGACCUAAUCGAAAAGGGGGUUGUGACCUCGAUGUUGGACUAGAAUAUCCUAAAGAUGCAG
rnacentral:rRNA from 1 species